rnacentral:rRNA from 1 species
UCGCCUGUUUAUCAAAAACAUCGCCUCUUGAAAAAUAUAAGAGGUCCAGCCUGCCCAGUGACUCUGUUCAACGGCCGCGGUAUCCUAACCGUGCGAAGGUAGCGUAAUCACUUGUUCUUUAAAUGAGGACUAGUAUGAAAGGCAUCACGAGGGUUAUACUGUCUCCUUUUUCUAAUUAGUGAAACUAAUCUCCCCGUGAAGAAGCGGGGAUCUUUAUAUAAGACGAGAAGACCCUAUGGAGCUUUAAAUAAUAUAACAAUUGCUACUUUAUUUCUACUAACCUCGUAUCAUCUAGCAAUAUGAUUAUUAAUUUUUGGUUGGGGUGACCGCGGAGCAUAACACAACCUCCACAUUGAAAGGAUGCUACUCCUAAGCUAAAAGCAACAACUUUAUGCAUCAAUAAAUUGACAUCAAUUGACCCAAUAUAUUUGAUCAACGAACCAAGUUACCCUAGGGAUAACAGCGCAAUCUACUUUAAGAGCCCAUAUCGACAAGUAGGUUUACGACCUCGAUGUUGGAUCAGGGUAUCCUAGUGGUGCAGCCGCUACUAAUGGUUCGUUUGUUCAACGAUUAAAACCCUACGUGAUCUGAGUUCAGACGGGA